GAUGAACGCUAGCUACAGGCUUAACACAUGCAAGUCGAGGGGAAACGGCAUCGAAAGCUUGCUUUUGAUGGGCGUCGACCGGCGCACGGGUGAGUAACGCGUAUCCAACCUGCCCAUCACUUGGGAAUAACCUUGCGAAAGUAAGACUAAUGCCCAAUGAUAUCCCACGAAGGCAUCCGAAUGGGAUUAACGAUUUAUCGGUGAUGGAUGGGGAUGCGUCUGAUUAGCUUGUUGGCGGGGUAACGGCCCACCAAGGCGACGAUCAGUAGGGGUUCUGAGAGGAAGGUCCCCCACAUUGGAACUGAGACACGGUCCAAACUCCUACGGGAGGCAGCAGUGAGGAAUAUUGGUCAAUGGGCGAGAGCCUGAACCAGCCAAGUAGCGUGCAGGAUGACGGCCCUAUGGGUUGUAAACUGCUUUUAUAAGGGAAUAAAGUGAGUCUCGUGAGACUUUUUGCAUGUACCUUAUGAAUAAGGACCGGCUAAUUCCGUGCCAGCCGCCGCAGUAA
rnacentral:rRNA from 1 species